ACAUCCAGAGAAUUUAGCAGAGAUGCUUUAGUGCCUUCGGGAACUCUGAGACAGGUGCUGCAUGGCUGUCGUCAGCUCGUGUUGUGAAAUGUUGGGUUAAGUCCCGNAACGAGCGCAACCCUUAUCCUUUGUGCCAGCACGUAAUGGUGGGAACUCAAAGGAGACUGCCGGUGAUAAACCGGAGGAAGGUGGGGAUGACGUCAAGUCAUCAUGGCCCUUACGAGUAGGGCUACACACGUGCUACAAUGGCGCAUACAAAGAGAAGCGACCUCGCGAGAGCAAGCGGACCUCAUAAAGUGCGUCGUAGUCCGGACUGGAGUCUGCAACUCGACUCCAUGAAGUCGGAAUCGCUAGUAAUCGUAAAUCAGAAUGUUACGGUGAAUACGUUCCCGGGCCUUGUACACACCGCCCGUCACACCAUGGGAGUGGGUUGCAAAAGAAGUAGAUAGCUUAACCUUCGGGAGGGCGUUUACCACUUUGUGAUUCAUGACUGGGGUGAAGUCGUAACAAGGUAAGCGUAGUGCU
rnacentral:rRNA from 1 species